CUGUCAGGGUCUAGGAAUACUGACCAGACCCAGAGGAAGGGCCGGCUAAUUCAGUGCCAGCAGCCGCGGUAAUACUGAAGGCCCGAGCGUUAAUCGGAAUCACUGGGCUUAAAGCGUACGCAGGCGGACUUGUAGGUAUUUUGUGAAAUCCCACGGCUUAACCGUGGAACUGCAGAGUAAACCACAAGUCUUGAGACAUGUAGGGGUCAGUGGAACCAUGAGUGGAGCGGUGAAAUGCGUAGAUAUUCAUGGGAACGCCAAUGGCGAAGGCAGCUGACUGGGCAUGUUCUGACGCUCAGGUACGAAAGCGUGGGUAGCGAACGGGAUUAGAUACCCCGGUAGUCCACGCCGUAAACGAUGCACACUAGGUCGUGGGAACUCUCAUGUUCUCGCGGCCGAAGGUAAACUGGUAAGUGUGCCGCCUGGGGAGUACGGUCGCAAGGCUAAAACUCAAAGGAAUUGACGGGGGCUCACACAAGCGGUGGAGCAUGUUGCUUAAUUCGAGGCAACGCGAAGAACCUUACCUGGGCUUGACAUGUAUGGAUUAGCUUAUGGAAACAUAAGUGACGCCCUUGGGUGGAACAUACACAGGUGCUGCAUGGCUGUCGUCAGCUCGUGCUGUGAAGUGUCGGGUUAAGUCCCUUAACGAGCGCAACCCCUAUCGUUAGUUACUAACGCGUUAUGGCGAGGACUCUAGCGAGACUGCCGGUGUCAAACCGGAGGAAGGUGGGGAUGACGUCAAGUCCUCAUGGCCUUUAUGCCCAGGGAUGCAAACGUGCUACAAUGGUACGGACAAAGCGAUGCAAUACCGCGAGGUGGAGCAAAUCGCAAAAACCGUGCCCCAGUUC
rnacentral:rRNA from 1 species